CCUCCCCUCCCUGCCCCGAUCGCGCAUCCGCCGCGCGCCCCCAAAUCGCACCGCUAUUGGUCGUACGCACUAGUGGCCAUGCGCCUCCACCGGCGUCCCCUCCAUCGCAGCCCCACCGCCGCCGUGAGCCAACCCACCGCCGCACCCAGCCACCCCACCUCUGCUCCUAGCCACCCAGCACUUCCGGACGUCCUAAACCGAAUUCGUGCCGCCCGCCCCCACCACCACAACCCCGCCGCCGCUCCAAGCCACCCCACCACCGCUCCGAACCAACCAACCACCGGUAUUAGCCACCCCGCCCCCGACGACCUCCCUCCACCCAGACGACCCAACCUAAUAAUUCCACGACAACGCUGUCGAGCACCUCCAUGAACCGAGCAGUGGAGGAGCGAGCGGGACCACUUCCUUCAUGUCCUCUCCAAUCCCCCAAGCAGCAGAGCAUCCCGCUUCUUCGGUGAGAAACUCUCUACCACCUCUACAUCCUCUCUGUGGGUAGUGGUGCCUCCUCAAAUUCCUCUCUAGCGAUAUAAUAUGAAGCUAAAGGGAUUUGUUUGUACCAAGAGCCAUCUCGAGGGGUCAAUGGCAGAGGGCUAUGUGUUUGAUGAGGCCCUUACAUUCUGUUCCAGUUAUUUACAAGGAUGUGAUACUAUAUUUAAUAGAAAAUGCAGAAAUGAUGCCCCAAGACCAAUGUAUCUACCAUGCCAUGUUUUUAACAAAAAGGGGGCGAUUUUUGUCUGGAAAGCAUAUAGUGACCUUGGAUCACAAGUCAUGGCUGCAAGCACAUCGAUAUGUUUUGUUCAAUUAUGACAACAUAGAUCCAUACUUGAGUAAUGGAAAAAGGAAGGGACGAGGACAAUGUUCAAGAACGAGAGGAAGAGAGGCUAGCGAGACUUAGAAUAAGAAACAACGAGGAUUUAAAAUGAUUUGGUCGCUUUAGAUUUGUAAAUAUAAAUAAAGAAAAUGGAGGCCCACCUAGUCAGCGACAAACUAAAAGAAGAGCACUGCAGAAAAGCCUAUUGUUGAAGUAACUCGAGUCCUUAGGUCCCAAUCAACUAGUGAUGUUGAAGAGAUGCCUUGUGACAACAUUCAAGAGCAUGAAGACCAUGAGUUGGAUCAAGUAACAAAAGUGAAGAAGGGAAAAAGCGCACUAGAAUGCACAGUGUGUAUGAUAGAUUGGGGACAGUGCCACCAAUUCGUGUAGAGUACAAUGAAGAUGGACAACCAGUUGGGGACAAUGCAUCAGAGUUUUCCGACUUCAUCUUCACACUUGUGAAAAGUAAAAUAUAUCUUAGGCACACUGAUUGGGGAAAGGUUGAAGUUGAGCAAAAAAAUUCAAUUGUGGACAACCUUAAAGAUGUAUUAUGUUGUGGAUGAAAAACUUAAGGAUUGGCUCAAGGGAAGCGCUGCCAAGAAAUGCGGGGAUUUCAAAUCAGAGUUGAAUACUUUGUAUUUUGAUGACAAGACCGAUGAGGAACUCCAAGUUGGCCCUAGUUAUAGAGUUAUACCAAAAAAUUGGGAAGAACUUGUUGCCUUUUGGAAAAGUGGAGCAGGUAAGAAACGCAGCCAACAAGGAAAACAAACCGAAAAGAGAUGGAACUAUUGUAUACAUCAUGAAGCAUAAGUCGUGCUCGUGUUUCUCAUGAAAUGCAUAAGAAUAAUGGAUAUCCCCUUCAUAGACAUGAAGUGUUUAUGGAAACACACAAGUGCAAGAAGACUCGUGCCCCUUCAAGUGUUGCUACAUCAAAUAUAAAAAGAUAGAAGUUAUGGAGAAAGAGCAUCCAGAACUUUUGGAAAAAAACAUCAAGCAAGGUGGCCUCUUCUCGCAUGUAACUGGAAAUGAGAGGAAUGGGUAUGUCAGGUGUAUAGGUCUAGGACCAAGUGCUACAGAUUUGGGCAUGCCAAGAACUAGAAAUCUGAAAUCAACAAAGCUUGAAAUGGCUGAGGAAGAAGCAAAAGAAGCUCGACAAGCAAAUGCAAUUCUACAUGAGCAUGUAGAUCAAAUCGAGACUGGUUUAGAAUCAGUAGUUGCAAGUCUCAAGGAUGAAUUUCUACAAUUGAAGAGAUUGUUGUUACAAUCAAAUGUUAGACAAAAUGUUGAGUUCAGUUUAUACGAAGAUGGAUAUGAAGGUGCAUAUGGAUCCAGACAUGAAGAUAGUGUAGGAUCUGUCACCGCUAACCUUGCUGUGCAAUGAGAGAAGGACGCAACCAUUUUGCAAAAGAAGACUGAAGGGGCACUCUUGCAUAAGAAGUUGUCAACAUUCACUCAAAAAAAUGUGUCCAAUCCGACCCUGCUCAACAUGAGACUGAAGGGGCACUCUUGCAAGAGAAGAGAGUUGCCAUUUCCCAAAAUAAGAAGGCAACAAUGUAACAAGAUAAGGAUGUGACACUUCAGCGCAACAACAUCCCUGCAGAAGGAAGUCCCAUUCACACAAAAACAUUAUCAGCAGGGAAAGGAUGUGAUACUAUAUAGAGUUUAUCGGGAUCAUGGUAGCCCUGUGGCAAAAGCUACCAUUCUAUCAAUUAAUCGGAGAGAGGUGGUAGGUGGUCAGGAGCUUGGCUCUAAAUAUUUUAAGGUUGUCGAGAACUAUGUAAUUGAAAGAGAUGCCAUUCUUCCUCGUGGUGCUGGAAACAUGACCAUACAAGCAUUUGGAAGUGGACAAGUCAGUGGAAAAUGUAGCAAUGCGGCCACAAGCAAGAUGAUGAGGUUUCCCAAAGAUACACAACAAGUUGGAGGUUUCGAAGAUCUGGAAGACCUUCAAUUUUUAGUGUUGGAAUGAUAAUGUGAUAUGUUUGUUUUUGAACCUGGAGACUAUCCCUGCCCAUUUUGUAACAACCACUGUAUGGCCACUUCCCCUUUUGUGGCACAAAUUCAUUUUGGUUAUAUGGCACAUCUUGAAACAUAUAUAUGUUCUCGUUA